rnacentral:rRNA from 1 species
CGGAUUAGAUACCCUGGUAGUCCACGCCCUAAACGAUGCAUAUUUGGUGUAGGUCAUUCAGUUGAUCUGUGCCGGAGCUAACGCGUUAAAUAUGCCGCCUGGGGAGUACAGUCGCAAGGCUGAAACUCAAAGGAAUUGACGGGGGCCCGCACAAGCGGUGGAGCAUGUGGUUCAAUUCGACGCAACGCGAAGAACCUUACCUGGGCUCGAACGGCUAGUCAACGACCGUGGAAACACGGUUACUCCGCAAGGGGGUCUAGUCGAGGUGCUGCAUGGCUGUCGUCAGCUCGUGUCGUGAGAUGUUGGGUUAAGUCCCGCAACGAGCGCAACCCUUGUCCUGUGUUGCCAUGCCGAAAGGCGGAACUCGCAGGAGACCGCCAGCGAUAAGCUGGAGGAAGGUGGGGAUGACGUCAAGUCCUCAUGGCCUUUAUGUCCAGGGCUACACACGUGCUACAAUGGCCGGUACAAUGCGCAGCUAAGUCGCAAGACGGAGCCAAUCGCAAAAAACCGGUCUCAGUUCGGAUUGCAGGCUGCAACUCGCCUGCAUGAAGCUGGAAUCGCUAGUAAUGGCAGAUCAGAACGCUGCCGUGAAUACGUUCCCGGGCCUUGUACACACCGCCCGUCACAUCACGAAAGUGGAUUGUACUAGAAGUCCGCGCGCUGACCGCAAGGGAGCAGCGGCCCAAGGUAUGAUUCAUGAUUGGGGUGAAGUCGUAACAAG